rnacentral:tRNA from 1 species
AUGUGACAGAUUAAUGUGAUAAAUUUAAGAUUUAAUAAUGAACAAUUCCUUUAGAA